rnacentral:lncRNA from 1 species
GAUUGGUUGUCCACUCAUAACCAUAAGAUAAUUAAAACGGGGGGGGGCAGGGUAAAAAAAAAACCCUUUUAUCAGCCAUAGGUUAAUGCAAGUGUUUAACAGAUGCUUCGCUAUUAAAAUAUUUCCCCCCAAUACUGAAGAAUCUUAAACCAGCAACCCUAACAGAGAUUGCGAAGAUUUUCAAAGUGGGGCACCUCGAUUUCUCGAAUCUGUGGUGUGGCGAAUAUCCGUGUUCCUCCUGCUUAACUAGCCUGUUUGAAGGCACAGUUCAUUCUCGAGCAAUUCGUCACCUCCUGGGGGUCUUCUCUUCCCGUCUACAGGAGAGUGUGACUUCAGAAAGAACUUCGGAUUGGCCAAGGCCAUUAAAGCUGGUGAGCGACUUGGAAGUCAUUUAGAAAGGAACAGACCUUCAACCUCAAGCCUUUGCGGGCACUGGGAAAGUGUCUUCCCAAUCAAUCUGGCUUGCAGGCGGCAGGACCAACUCUGACCUGGCUUAUCUUGUACCCAUCCUAAAUACACCAAACUCAAGAGGUAGCCAGGGCCGCCUCAACACCGAGGUCUGAUUCUAUUUAUUCUAAAGACAGAGUUGGAGAUGGGCUACCAUUGGUGUUGAUUGAGAUGACAAGCAGUCACCUGAGCCCAUACAGCUGGGUUCACAGAUGUGGCUAGUCUUGCUAGCCAGCUCGCACUGUGGACAUUCUAGGGAACUGACUGCAGUCCUCAUGCUUGGAGUCAAACACUUUAACCACUGCACACGUUUAUGUAAUAGGAUUGACAUAUGAGAAUCAGAGAAAUGAAUGAAAGAUUAGAGUGGGAGAAAGUGCUUGCUGCCAAGCUUGAUGACCUAAAUUGAAUACCUGGAACCUACACGACAGAAAGAGAGAGCUGACUGCUGAAAGAUGUCCUCAGAUCUUCACAUGUGCACAGUGGCACCUAUCCAACCAUGCACAUAGU